AGAGACUCAUAACAAGAAAACUCUGCAUGUUGGGCACAGACGCGAGUUGUAUCUUCCAUCUGCACUUGUUUGUAGCUGGGGAUGCAGAGCCCUGGGUGCAGAGGGCCAGCCGCACCGCCACGCACCAACUGGUGUCUCCAGGGGGUUGCACCAAUCGAUACUGCCACAAGCUGUGCAUGACAAGCAGCUCUGAGCCACCACCCCAUCAUCGGCAAGAGGAGCACAGUGGGGGCCUGGGUUCCAUCCCAGCAUCCAUCCCAGCACCGUGAAGGAAUGGGAACAGUUACAGCCCUGGGUGAGGCUGCACUGGGCCAUGAGCGUCAGUCCCUUCUGCGUUCCUGUCACAAUCUACCCUCGGCACAGAUGCAGAUGCGUUAGUAAGAAAGGAGCCUACCUGACUCACCGUUCUGGAGGCUGGGAGUCCAAGCAGGAUGGCAAAACUGGGAUCGAACUCGGGACCUUGUGCUUGUGAGGCACGUGGCAGAACCACUGAGCUACAUCCCGGCCCUGAUGUGGAGCUGAAGAUACAGCUGGCUGGAGCAUCCUGCAGAGGCCCUUGGUUCAGAAGCACUGGAGGAAGAAGAGCCGAAGGCCGUAAUGAAGAGGAGAAUCGGCCUCGAUAGGACACCGGCCCUUUCAGUGGUGAUGCCCGUCAGGGUGGACCCUGGCCGCCUGGCUCCAAGGCCAUCCGAGGUUUCCACUUCCUCCUCCAUGACACCUGGGCUCUCCAGAGCCUCCACGCUGGACCUGGACCACCCCUGGGUGGCUUCACAGCUGGCCGGGCUGGCUCAGGGGAGCAGGUGGCAAGGCCCCUGCCUCUGGGAUCCCAUGCCAGAUGUGGGCCAGAUGGCGGCCAGGCUGUGGACAGGGCCCUCCAUGGAGUGGCCUGCAGCUCUACCAGCCCAUGGGUCCAUCCUCCUUGUACCAGGCAUGUGCAGUGAGGUCCCCACUCUGGCCCAGUCAUGGCAGCCACAGCAGUUUGGGCCGAGAGCCCUGGGGAGGGGAUCCCUGGCUUUGCUGCUGUGGCCCACAUCUCACCUGCAGCUGAUGCCCUCG
rnacentral:lncRNA from 1 species